UUGUUUUAGCCUUUUGGCUUUCCCCCAAAGUGACUUGAAAAUUAUAUGUAUAUGUAUAUAUGUGUUUGGCCUUGAAAUAUGAAUUGAGAGCACGAUUUACAUGAAAUCCCUCUCUUGAUGUAAUUUUUCCAUGUUUCACAUGAUAUAGAUUGUUUUGAAAUACAUCUUGAAAAAUCAUGAUAUGAAAUGCUUUGACUUUGCUAUAUUUGGAAUACGAUUUUGAACACGAAAGAGAGGGUUGUAAAUGUUGAAUAUACAUAUAAUGAAAGAGUGCAUAAUUUUGCCAAAAGCACAUGACCACCAUAUGUUUGAUGAAAGUUUUUGCAUGGUUUUAACUUGAGUUUUGGAACAUGAAAUUUUUUAUGCAAAUUACAUGUUUGGGUGGUCUGAAAC
rnacentral:lncRNA from 1 species